GUGUUUGGUUCAGCAGCAUAUAUGCUAAAAUUGGAACGAUACAGAGAAGAUUAGCAUGGCCCCUGCAUAAGGAAGACACGCAAAUUUGUGAAAUGUUACAUAUUUUU